rnacentral:rRNA from 1 species
UACGUAGGGGGCUAGCGUUGUCCGGAAUCAUUGGGCGUAAAGAGCGUGUAGGCGGCCCGGUAAGUCCGCUGUGAAAGUCGGGGGCUCAACCCUCGAAAGCCGGUGGAUACUGUCGGGCUAGAGUGCGGAAGAGGCGAGUGGAAUUCCUGGUGUAGCGGUGAAAUGCGCAGAUAUCAGGAAGAACACCCGUGGCGAAGGCGGCUCUCUGGGACGGUACUGACGCUGAGACGCGAAAGCGUGGGGAGCGAACAGG